UACGUAGGGUGCGAGCGUUGUCCGGAAUCACUGGGCGUAAAGGGAGCGUAGGCGGCGUGGUAAGUCAGAUGUGAAAUCCCGGGGCUCAACCCCGGAACUGCAUCCGAUACUGCCGUGCUUGAGGGUUGGAGAGGUAGCUGGAAUUAUCGGUGUAGCAGUGAAAUGCGUGGAUAUCGAUAGGAACACUCGUGGCGAAGGCGAGCUACUGGACAACAUCUGACGCUGAGGCUCGAAGGCUAGGGGAGCAAAAGGG
rnacentral:rRNA from 1 species